CGGGGCGUAGCGCAGCCCGGUAGCGCACUUGACUGGGGGUCAAGGGGUCGCUGGUUCAAGUCCAGUCGCCCCGACCA
rnacentral:tRNA from 16 species